GAGGAGGAGGAGGAAGGGACGGUGUUCUUCAAGUGGAGGGAGAAAGAGGUUUUGGAGGUGAUCUUCACAUCUGGGCCACGAUGGUUUAUCUUUCUUCGUUUAUUUAUCAUAAACCAUGGUGCCCCAGAUGAGAAGAGCACCUUCGCCUUCGUUUAUUUACAUGGAUUGGACUGUUUCUGGAGGAACCGGCAGUCCAUCUCCAUUUGGGUAUUUUCUCUGCCGAAAUGGUGUAGAUGAUUUCAUCCUCUCCUCUUGUCAGACUCUGCCAGUUGAUCUGGAGUAAGAAGAAGAAUUUGAAGCGAAAGUGUUAUUGUCGUCUGGGCCCCGGUGGUUUAUGAUCGUCUAGGAUGUUCAGAACCACCGUGGCCAAGACGACAAGAAUACCCUCGUCUUUGCUUACAUGGAUCUCGGCAAACUUGAUUCCUCAAAUAGAA
rnacentral:pre_miRNA from 1 species